CGGAGGAUCCAAGCGUUAUCCGGAUUCAUUGGGUUUAAAGGGUGCGUAGGCGGAAUGAUAAGUCAGUGGUGAAAUCUCGGAGCUUAACUCCGAAACUGCCAUUGAUACUGUCAAUCUUGAGUACAUUUGAUGAGGGCGGAAUGUGUCAUGUAGCGGUGAAAUGCUUAGAUAUGACACAGAACACCGAUUGCGAAGGCAGCUCUCAAAACUGUAACUGACGCUGAGGCACGAAAGCGUGGGUAUCAAACAGGAUUAGAUACCCUGGUAGUCCACGCUGUAAACUAUGAUUACUCGAUGUUUGCGAUAUACUGUAAGCGUCUAAGCGAAAGCGAUAAGUAAUCCACCUGGGGAGUACGCUCGCAAGAGUG
rnacentral:rRNA from 1 species